rnacentral:rRNA from 1 species
AUGGAUGCGUUGGAGCUGCGCUUCGGGCGGUACGUGCUUCUGGCAACCGCGGUCGGAGACGGCAAGCAGGCAGUGACGCCGGCAGCCAUGCUGGCGACCUUGCGGCAGCAUUGCGGGGUGGUGCCGUCUGAGGUGGUCAUUGAGGUCGCAUGCCCACCACACGACCUGUGGCUGACGUUCUCGACGGAGGAGAAGUGCUCUGAGGUGCUCUUGUUGUCAAUGAGGAUCAAGUGUUGCCGGUGUUGGAUUCAAUUUUCGCGUUGGUGCAGAAUGGUUCGUGCUCAGCCAGGUGCUCUGAAGUACAAGAGCAAGCUCAGCUUUGAAGGCCUCCCUAACCAGGCCUGGACGACGGCGUCCGUGAAAGAUGUUCUCAAGCAGCUGGGUGGCGAGCUGAUCAAGAUCCUGCCGCCGGCAAGCCGCCGCGAGCUUGAGGUAAUUGCGUGGCUUCAUGACCCUUCGUCUGUUGGCAAGGUGGUGACAGUGGAGAUACCUGAGCCGAAGCAGACAAACAAGCCACCCGAGUCCAUGGAUGAGUAUGAAGCAAUGCAAUUUGAAUUGGGUGACUACGGACCGUCGUCGCCGAGGAAGAAGAACAGCUUACUGUAUCCUGUCAUUUGCCACAUGAAGGAGGUUGUCGAUCGUGGUCCUCUGCUUGCUGAAGGACUGCCUGAUGAGUGGCUGCCAGUAGAAGGCGAGGACCUGACUCGCAAGCAUAUCUUCAAGAUUGUGCUGGGCAAGAUCGAUGGCACUGACGUUGCUGAAGGAGUUUGA